GUAUGUAUGUAUGUGUGCAUGUGCAUGU
rnacentral:miRNA from 7 species